UGUUCCCUGCGAUGUUGCCAGAUCAUAGAUUCCUUGAACCAAUAUCAAGCAUCUGGUUGUGACUUAAAACGAGUGCUGUUGUGCGUGCCCCUUCGCGGGCGUGCCUGAUGCGCUCCCGUUACGACCCCCUGGUCUCCCAGGUUCAGGAUGCCGAUCUGGCGGCAUUUGCGGGGAACUC
rnacentral:other from 2 species